rnacentral:tRNA from 1 species
GGGUGGUAUAGCUCAGUGGUAGAGCAUUCGAUUGCUGAUCAAGAGUCCCCGGUUCAAACCCGGGUGCCCCCU